rnacentral:rRNA from 1 species
AUUGAACGCUGGCAGAAUGCUUUACACAUGCAAGUCGAACGGCAGCACGGACUUCGGUCUGGUGGCGAGUGGCGAACGGGUGAGUAAUGUAUCGGAACGUGCCCAGUCGUGGGGGAUAACGUAGUGAAAAUUACGCUAAUACCGCAUACGAUCUAUGGAUGAAAGCGGGGGAUCGCAAGACCUCGCGCGAUGGGAGCGGCCGAUAUCAGAUUAGGUAGUUGGUGGGGUAAAGGCCCACCAAGCCAACGAUCUGUAGCUGGUCUGAGAGGACGACCAGCCACACUGGAACUGAGACACGGUCCAGACUCCUACGGGAGGCAGCAGUGGGGAAUUUUGGACAAUGGGCGAAAGCCUGAUCCAGCCAUUCCGCGUGCAGGAUGAAGGCCCUCGGGUUGUAAACUGCUUUUGUACAGAACGAAAAGGUUUCUACUAAUACUAGGAGCUCAUGACGGUACUGUAAGAAUAAGCACCAGCUAACUACGUGCCAGCAGCCGCGGUAA